rnacentral:rRNA from 1 species
GACGAACGCUGGCGGCGUGCUUAACACAUGCAAGUCGAACGGUAAGGCCCUUCGGGGUACACGAGUGGCGAACGGGUGAGUAACACGUGGGUAAUCUGCCCUGCACUUCGGGAUAAGCCUGUGAAACUGGGUCUCAUACCGGAUAGGACCACUGCCUGCAUGGGUGGUGGUGGAAAGCUUUUGCGGUGUGGGAUGGGCCCGCGGCCUAUCAGCUUGUUGGUGGGGUGAUGGCCUACCAAGGCGACGACGGGUAGCCGGCCUGAGAGGGUGACCGGCCACACUGGGACUGAGAUACGGCCCAGACUCCUACGGGAGGCAGCAGUGGGGAAUAUUGCACAAUGGGCGCAAGCCUGAUGCAGCGACGCCGCGUGAGGGAUGACGGCCUUCGGGUUGUAAACCUCUUUCAGCACCGACGAAGCGCAAGUGACGGUAGGUGCAGAAGAAGGACCGGCCAACUACGAGCCAGCCGCCGCCGUAA